AAUAGAUACCCUGGUAGUCCACGCCGUAAACGAUGUCGACUUGGAGGUUGUGCCCUUGAGGCGUGGCUUCCGGAGCUAACGCGUUAAGUCGACCGCCUGGGGAGUACGGCCGCAAGGUUAAAACUCAAAUGAAUUGACGGGGGCCCGCACAAGCGGUGGAGCAUGUGGUUUAAUUCGAUGCAACGCGAAGAACCUUACCUACUCUUGACAUCCAGAGAACUUAGCAGAGAUGCUUUGGUGCCUUCGGGAACUCUGAGACAGGUGCUGCAUGGCUGUCGUCAGCUCGUGUUGUGAAAUGUUGGGUUAAGUCCCGCAACGAGCGCAACCCUUAUCCUUUGUUGCCAGCGGUUCCGGCCGGGAACUCAAAGGAGACUGCCAGUGAUAAACUGGAGGAAGGUGGGGAUGACGUCAAGUCAUCAUGGCCCUUACGAGUAGGGCUACACACGUGUUACAAUGGCAUAUACAAAGAGAAGCGACCUCGCGAGAGCAAGCGGACCUCAUAAAAGUAUGUCGUAGUCCGGAUUGGAGU
rnacentral:rRNA from 1 species